GGUAUUCUAGAACACUCCUUUCACUGUAUUCCUGAGCACCCAAUAAAUCACUUUUCUGCUUCCCUUAGACCGGUGUGGUGGCUCAUGCUUGUAAUCCCAGCACUUUGGGAGACCGAGCUUCUCAGCAGGCUGGAAUGGGACUAUAACUGAUAUAUCAUGACCACACCAACUGAGGGUGUGGAGUAGGUCACCCAUUGGGGAUGGAA
rnacentral:lncRNA from 1 species